UUGGUUGUGGAUCUGUUGUUGCUUGAGGCAAUGGAACAGCAAUCACAGCAGGAUUUGAUGGAACAGUAGGAGCGACCAUCUGUAGAGUGGUAACAGCUUUUGGGACUACAUCACUCGCAUAAAUUGGGACUACUUCUUUUCUUGGGCGACCUCUCCUCCUUGCCAUAACAAUCUCUGCUUAAAUUUACUUACCUAAGCAGAUGCAGUGGAAAAGAAGGUGAUGAAACCGGGAAGAAGAUGAUGAGAAAUUUAGAGAGAAGGCAGAGCUUCUCUCUCUUCCAUUACUGUACCCCGAAUGAAUAUGUUGUUCAAUAAUAAUACUUAAAACUUCAUUU
rnacentral:lncRNA from 1 species